GACAGAGGGGGCAAGCGUUGCUCGGAAUUACUGGGCGUAAAGGGCGCGUAGGCGGGAUGGCAAGUCGGUUGUGAAAUCCUUCGGCUCAACCGAAGAACGUCGAUCGAUACUGCCAUUCUUGAGGGAUGCAGAGGAGACUGGAAUUCCCGAUGUAGCGGUGAAAUGUGUAGAGAUCGGGAGGAACACCGGUGGCGAAGGCGGGUCUCUGGGCAUCUCCUGACGCUGAGGCGCGAAAGCGUGGGGAGCAAACGGG
rnacentral:rRNA from 1 species